rnacentral:rRNA from 1 species
AGGACGAACGCUGGCGGCGUGCUUAACACAUGCAAGUGGAGCGACGAACCAGGGCUUGCCCUGGGGCAGAGCCGCGAACGGGUGAGUAACACGUGGGUUACCUGCCUCGAUGACCGGGACAACCCGAGGAAACUCGGGCUAAUACCGGAUGUGCCCGCAAGGGGAAAGGAAGCUUCGGCCUCCGCAUCGAGAUGGGCCCGCGGCCCAUUAGCUUGUUGGUGAGGUAACGGCUCACCAAGGCUUCGAUGGGUAGCUGGUCUGAGAGGACGAUCAGCCACACUGGGACUGAGACACGGCCCAGACUCCUACGGGAGGCAGCAGUGGGGAAUCUUGCGCAAUGCGCGAAAGCGUGACGCAGCAACGCCGCGUGGGGGAAGAAGGCUUUCGGGUGUAAACCCCUUUCAGUUGGACGAGCUUCGUCGGUGAAUAGCGGCCGGAGUGACGGUACCUUCACAAGAAGCACCGGCUAACUACGUGCCAGCAGCCGCGGU